CUUCUCUUCCUUUUUCCUCCAUUGUUUCUAUUCACAAGCUUCCUCUCUCUUGCAUUUUCUCUUUUUCACAAUAUCUUUUACUUAGAAAAUCACUUCUCUAGACUCCCAAACUUGAUUUUUACUAUCUUCUUGAAAAUCUCUUUAAAUCUUUGAGUUUUUGAGCAUCUUUGAAAAACCCAUCUUUGAAACCCAUUUUCAACAUCUUCAACUUUUUUUUUUUUAUCUUCCAUGGCAUUUCCUACUGAGCCACCUAGGUUCUUCACAUUUCAUGGGAAAAGAUAUGAACCAUCAAUUGAGUGGAAUGAUGUGGAGAGACUUUUCUAAGACCCACUUAAGCAUGCUCCAAAUCCUUCCACCAAGGACCUCAAGGUUUGGAAGUUGGGCCACAACUUUUGGAAGACGUUGUUGAGGAAUUUCCAAGGUUCCUUUGUUGGAUGCCCAAGAACUGCCUAUCAACACUUCCAAAGCGCUCUUUGAAGGCUUGGAAAAUGAUGAUUGAUGGCUUAAACAUUGAAGAUGUGAGUUUCAUGUCUUCUUUCAUUGGUGGAAGUUUUGUUUGAUUUAUUUCAUGAAGGGAUGUCUUUUAAAUUUUGAACUAUUCAUUAAUUUUAGAUGAACUUGGAUCCUUAGGAAGGAUGUGAGGAUUAUGCUAAAUGUACAUUGGCUCUAGAAUUGAAUGAGUGUCAAGUCUUGUUUGAGUGUGGCCAUGGUAGGUAUUGGUAUCUUAGAGACCGAGUGCUCCCACAGGUUUACCAUACAUAUCCUCCUAAAGUGAAUUCUGUCAAUCCUUGUCCUUCAAUCCAACUGGCCAAUCUUUUAACUGAUGAUGAAGUAGCUAAUGCAAUAGUUGGUCGUGACAAUCUUGGGAUACCUGGAGACUAUCUUGAAUUUGUUCAGACUCAUCUACAAGGCCGCUUAAUCGAUGCCUCUGGAGCUUUGAUGAACUUCCUUUUCUCUCAAAUCAACUCUUAUUACCUUUGCUAUCCUUGGUUAUUUGUAAAAAAUAUCUAAAUGUUCCGUUUACAGGCUUUAGUCCAUGGAAUGGGAGGUUCUUUUCAGGAUAGGGCCACUCCUUCUCCCCAAGGCAAUGUUGAUAGUCCUAAUGCUUCUUUUGCAGAAACAUGUCCCAAUUUUCUAGCAUGGCAAUAUGAGAUAAUAAAUCUUGAUGGGUCUUAUAGUUUUAUGAACUUAGACUGACCUAAAUAUGCUUAGAGUGUUCCUUGGAGUGGUCGGGAAAGCAUGAGAAUGAUUGGAGGUUUGCAACGGGUUACACGCACCCAAUCUUCUCAAUAUGUACUAAAUGAAUUGAACAGGAAUAAUCGAAUGACAAAUGUCAAUGCCAACACCCGGGUUUUGGAAGAAAGGAUCAGAAACUUUGAACUUCAAGACAGGCAGCCUGGGCCUCAAAUUCAUGCUAACCAAAAACAACAAGGGAAUGCAGAGGGCGGUUCUUCUAGAGAUGGGCCUUGAAGAUCAUCCCUUUGGCAGACUCGGAGUCCAAAUGAUGCUUGAUUGUAUUUUUUUAUUUUCUUGCAAAACACCAAAAAAUCCCUUAGUCAAAUAACUAGUAUUAACUUUCAAUAUUAACCCCAUGAUCUUUGAUGA